rnacentral:rRNA from 1 species
GACGAACGCUGGCGGCGUGCCUAAUACAUGCAAGUCGAGCGGACUGAAUGGGAGCUUGCUCUUGUUCGGUCAGCGGCGGACGGGUGAGUAACACGUGGGCAACCUGCCCGCAAGACCGGGAUAACUCCGGGAAACCGGAGCUAAUACCGGAUAACACCGAAGACCGCAUGGUCUUUGGUUGAAAGGCGGCGCAAGCUGCCACUUGCGGAUGGGCCCGCGGCGCAUUAGCUAGUUGGUGAGGUAACGGCUCACCAAGGCGACGAUGCGUAGCCGGCCUGAGAGGGUGACAGGCCACACUGGGGCUGAGACGCGGCCCAGACUCCUACGGGAGGCAGCAGUAGGGAAUCUUCCGCAAUGGGCGAAAGCCUGACGGAGCGACGCCGCGUGAGCGAAGAAGGCCUUCGGGUCGUAAAGCUCUGUUGUGGGGGACGAAGGAGCGCCGUUUGAAGAAGGCGGCGCGGUGACGGUACCUCACGAGGAAGCCCCGGCUAACUACGUG